UACGGAGGGUGCAAGCGUUAUCCGGAUUCACUGGGUUUAAAGGGUGCGUAGGUGGGUUGGUAAGUCAGUGGUGAAAUCUCCGUGCUUAACAUGGAAACUGCCAUUGAUACUACUGAUCUUGAAUUUUCGGGAGGUAAGCGGAAUAUGUCAUGUAGCGGUGAAAUGCUUAGAUAUGACAUAGAACACCAAUUGCGAAGGCAGCUUACUACAGGAAUAUUGACACUGAUGCACGAAAGCGUGGGGAUCAAACAGG
rnacentral:rRNA from 1 species